rnacentral:lncRNA from 1 species
GUAUUGCUUUAGGCCAGACAACCACCACUCAGACCCGUGUUGCAUCAACCCCGCUACUCCUGAGUGCUGCUACCCCCCAAGUCCCUGCUGCACCAUCCCCAACGUCUUCUAUUGCCCCUGCGACCUCAGCCCCCACAUCCCCACCUGCUGCUGGGACACUCUCAGCUGGAACAGUGACCAACGUCACCACCCCUACAGCUGCACCACCUGCUGUCUCAGGCACAAACCCUCCCUCUCCAGCUCUGCCCAGCACCCCACACAUCACCGCUCUCACCUCUGGGACUGCAACCACCCCCCACGUACCCACAGCUCCGAUGGCCACAUCCAGGGCCGCCCCUCCACAUGGAACUGCAUCUCCCGGGGUCCCAUCAGUGGCCCCAUCCCUCAGCACCACUGAGCCCUCAAACUGCAGCGGAGUGAACGUGACAGCGUGUGCUCCUUGCUCCCCAGGGACCAUUCCCAGCAAUGACACCUGGAGCUGCUCGUGCUGCACGGAGGGCUCAUGUGUGGACCCCAGCACCUGUGCUCCUUGCCCAGUGGGGCACUACCAGCCUGCGAUGGGGCAGCAGCAGUGCCUGCCGUGUCCAAAGGGGAGUUACACCAACACUACGAGGAGCAUCAUGUGCUCACCCUGCCUGCCCGGCCACUAUGCCAACGAGUUGGGAGCCACAGCCUGCAGCGUGUGCCAGAAAGGUUAUUUUAGCUCCCAGCAAAAUGCAGCUGUUUGUCUGCCUUGCCUGCCUGGAUCGUUCUGCAACUCCACCGGCUGCUCGCUGUGUCUGGCCUGUCCUGCUGGGCAUGAGGCUCCACGUGAGGCUGCUGAGGAGUGUUUGCUGUGCCGGGCAGGUACAUUCAAAGGUCCGGGUGAUGCCGCCUGCAAGCCCUGCGAGCCAGGGGAAUACCAGCUGCAGCGGGGCCAGGACAGCUGCGACCUGUGCCCAGAGAACCACUACUGUCCUAGCCCAGAUGUGAACCCAAUCAAGUGCCCUCCCGAUGCCUUCUGCCCCAUGGGCAGCACAGCACCCCAGUACUGCAUGGAGGUCUUCCUGUACAAGGUGGGCAGCUCCUGCCAGCUGACACCGCUGGUGAUCGUCCUCCUGGCCCUCAUCUCAGCAGGUGCGAUUCUUAUCAUCUUCGUACUAAUCCUGAGAAGAAAGCAAGCAUACAGCACAAAGUCAUUGAAGUCCCUGCUGCUACCACGAGGAUCAGAGCAGCACGCGACGUAUGGAGUGAUGGAGCACACGGAGCCGGUGUAUGCUGGCUGGUAG